rnacentral:rRNA from 1 species
GACGUAGGGCGCGAGCGUUGUCCGGAUUUAUUGGGCGUAAAGAGCUCGUAGGCGGCUUGUUGCGUCGACCGUGAAAACCCGGGGCUUAACUUCGGGCUUGCGAUCGAUACGGGCAGGCUAGAGUUCGGUAGGGGAGACUGGAAUUCCUGGUGUAGCGGUGAAAUGCGCAGAUAUCAGGAGGAACACCGGUGGCGAAGGCGGGUCUCUGGGCCGGUACUGACGCUGAGGAGCGAAAGCGUGGGGAGCAAACAGG